CCAACUGGACGGAGACUGCGCUGGCUCCAUGUGCUGCGCACGGCAUCACGGCGAAAUGAUCUGCAAGAAGAGGUUAACCUUUGGCAUGGAUUGCUAUGUACCCGACGGUGGGCUGGCCUACAGCAUCAACCAGCUCUGCCCCUGUGACACGGGGCUCGUGUGCAGGAGCGGCAGGGUCACACGAGAGAAAGAGUUUGAUUACUGGGGAUACACCAACAGCUGGCAAUGCCUAAACCCAUCCUUGCCCUGACCAACCAACACCGACGGCCCACAGUUGUAUGUUUUAACGUUGUAAAUACCUGAUGUAAUAUAAUCCUAAUAAAUAGAACAGUUCAAAUGAUUCAAUGUAAAUAAUGACUGGUCGCAACACCAGUGUUGAUGAAUGUAAUAAAAUCCUGUACAGUAUCGACAAUGCCCAUUGCUCCUGGAACACUAUUUGCCCCAACGGCAGACUCGCCAUUCAUUGCCUGAACGGCUGUUCCAUGUGUGAACAUUUUAGGACGACUAACCUCACUAGAGAUGAAACAGUGAGUGAAGUUUGUAUGGAAGGACACACACACACACACACACACACAGUGCUGGAGUAACUCAGGGGGUUAGGCACCAUCUCUGGAGAACAUGGAUAGGUGACGUUUCAGGUCGGGACCUUUCUUCAGACCGAUUGUGGUGGGGUUGGUGGGGCUGGGUCUGGGUGAGUUAGGAGGAGUAGGAGGGAGAGAGGAGAGGCAGGACGGGGUGGGAGAUUGCAACCUUCACGUGGUCCGCCCUGUUUUGACGAAUGCAAUCAACCCGGCGUGCACAAUCAAAUAGAACAAGUUGUCCUUCAACUUUAGGCUGUGCAUGUCCUACGCAAGAAGAAGAAGGAGCAGGAUAAAAUGUGGCAAUAGCUGAACACAGGCAAGAGGGUAGGGGUGCCACCAUGUGUGCAGGCUGGCAGUAGACAAGACUAUUUGGUGACAUUUUGUAACUUUGCCACGUUUUGGUGCCGACAACACUUGUGAGCUGCUGAGGUGAGGUCUCCCUAUUCAUUGCCACUCCCAUUCAAGGCUUUGGAGGCAGUCAAUGGAUAUUUUUAAGGCAGAGAUAGAUUCUUCAUUAGUCCGGGUGGGUGUCAGGGGUUAUGGGGAGAAAGGAAGAGAAUGGAGUUAGGAGGGAGAGAUAGAUCAGCCAUGAUUGAAUGAUGGAGUAGACUUGAUGGGCCGAAUGGCAGAAUUCUGUCCCUACCACUUGAGAACUGCACGAUGUCACUGGGCUGUAUGCAAAGCAAAUCAUUUCACUGUACCUAGGUACACCCAACAACAAAAUAAUAGAAUCAUUUAUAAUAACUUCAGAUUUUGCUUUGUGAAGAAAAAUUACCCAAAGACACAAAAUAAAACAUCCAUUGAAAAAAAAAAAAAAUUCACAAAAAAUUUAUUUAAAACACAUGCGGUAACACAUGUCCUUGGAAUGAAAAAUGUUUCUCAAUGUACAGUUUACACAGAAGAGUGCACAAUGUUGUCAGUAACAUGACCGUUUGAAUACUCGCUCUCUUCCUCACUUCUGAGGAGAGUCCCCUGUUAAAUAUUAAUACUUAAAUAGAUUUUUUUUUUUU